GCCCAUCAGCUAGCCGCCCCAACCAAAAACAACAAAGCCCUAUCAAUACCCCCCAAAACACUCAAAACACACCAAACAAACCAUUUUUCCUCCCAAGUACGGGCGACAGAAAAGGAACCGUCGCGCCAUAGAAAAAGUACCGCAAGGGAAUGCUGAAAGAGAAAUGAAACAAGCCAGUAAAGCCCCAAAAAGCAGAGAUUUACACUCGUA
rnacentral:rRNA from 1 species